AUGGGAAAUAUGAAAUGUGCGGGUAACCAACCAUGUACAGGGAAAUAGGAAUUCAAGUAUGGGUAAGUGUGCGGGUAACCAACCAUAUAUAGGCAAAUAGGAAUUCAAAUAUAGGAAAUAUGAAAUGUGCGGGUAACCAACCAUGUACAGGGAAAUAGGAAUUCAAGUAUGGGUAAGUGUGCGGGUAACCAACCAUAUAUAGGCAAAUAG